AUUGAACGCUGGCGGCAGGCCUAACACAUGCAAGUCGAACGGCAGCGGGGGAUAGCUUGCUAUCCUGCCGGCGAGUGGCGGACGGGUGAGUAAUGCAUGGGGAGCUGCCCAGUCGAGGGGGAUAACAACUGGAAACGGUUGCUAAUACCGCAUACGCCUGAGGGGGAAAGGUGGGGAACUUCGGUCCUACCGCGAUUGGAUGCGCCCAUGUGGGAUUAGCUAGUUGGUGGGGUAACGGCUCACCAAGGCGACGAUCUCUAGCUGGUCUGAGAGGAUGACCAGCCACACUGGAACUGAGACACGGUCCAGACUCCUACGGGAGGCAGCAGUGGGGAAUAUUGCACAAUGGGGGAAACCCUGAUGCAGCCAUGCCGCGUGUGUGAAGAAGGCCUUCGGGUUGUAAAGCACUUUCAGUCAGGAGGAAGGGGUGAUGGCUAAUAUCCAUCAUCAUUGACGUUACUGACAGAAGAAGCACCGGCUAACUCCGUGCCAGCCGCCGCCGUAA
rnacentral:rRNA from 1 species